GAUGAACGCUGGCGGCGUGCCUAAUACAUGCAAGUCGAGCGAACAGACGGGGAGCUUGCUCCUCUGACGUUAGCGGCGGACGGGUGAGUAACACGUGGAUAACCUACCUAUAAGACUGGGAUAACUUCGGGAAACCGGAGCUAAUACCGGAUAAUAUAUUGAACCGCAUGGUUCAAUAGUGAAAGACGGUUUUGCUGUCACUUAUAGAUGGAUCCGCGCCGCAUUAGCUAGUUGGUAAGGUAACGGCUUACCAAGGCAACGAUGCGUAGCCGACCUGAGAGGGUGAUCGGCCACACUGGAACUGAGACACGGUCCAGACUCCUACGGGAGGCAGCAGUAGGGAAUCUUCCGCAAAGGGCGAAAGCCUGACGGAGCAACGCCGCGUGAGUGAUGAAGGUCUUCGGAUCGUAAAACUCUGUUAUUAGGGAAGAACAAAUGUGUAAGUAACUAUGCACGUCUUGACGGUACCUAAUCAGAAAGCCACGGCUAACUACGUG
rnacentral:rRNA from 1 species